GACGAACGCUGGCGGCUUGCCUAAUACAUGCAAGUCGAGCGAGCGGCGGACGGGUGAGUAAUGUAUGGGGAUCUGCCCGAUAGAGGGGGAUAACUACUGGAAACGGUUGCUAAUACCGCAUACUAUCGGAUGUACCCAUAUGGGAUUAGCUUGUAGGUGGGGUAAAGGCUCACCUAGGCGACGAUACCUAGCUGGUCUGAGAGGAUGAUCAGCCACACGGGGACGGAGACACGGCCCAGACUCCUACGGGAGGCAGCAGUGGGGAAUAUUGCACAAUGGGCGCAAGCCGGAUGCAGCCAUGCCGCGUGUAUGAAGAAGGCCUUAGGGUUGUAAAGUACUUUCAGCGGGGAGGCGUUACCCGCAGAAGAAGCACCGGCUAACUCCGUGCCAGCAGCCGCGGUAAUAC
rnacentral:rRNA from 1 species